CAAAGCGGCCGCUGAAGUUGGCUUACGAUUGAAGGUUCGGGACAGCGUUCGUAGCUACAAGCUGUGAUCCAACUAUAAGGAGCAGACUUUACUGUACAUCGUAAGUGAACUGCAAUAUCCAGAGGCAGCUCUACGGAGCAUGGAGCUGAAAGAAUGAGUGGCAAGCUUUGGAGAUCUGCAUCAGAGGCCAUCUUUCAGACAUGCACCACUGCUGUCCGUCCAAGAUCCUCCGGUUGCCCAGGCGUUACACGGGUGAAGGAACAGAAUGACUGGAGUUUCUGGCUGAGAGGGACCAGGGCUGAYACGRCGAACAGUGAGGAGAACCGUCUGCACUGUGAGCAGCACCAGAACUCCUGAUGGGUCUCCUUCAGGAAGAAGCAGAGAGACGGCCGACCUCCACAGAGAAGAGUUCACCCAAACAUCAGA